GAUGAACGCUGGCGGCGUGCCUAAUACAUGCAAGUCGAGCGAAUGGAUUAAGAGCUUGCUCUUAUGAAGUUAGCGGCGGACGGGUGAGUAACACGUGGGUAACCUGCCCAUAAGACUGGGAUAACUCCGGGAAACCGGGGCUAAUACCGGAUAACAUUUUGAACCGCAUGGUUCGAAAUUGAAAGGCGGCUUCGGCUGUCACUUAUGGAUGGACCCGCGUCGCAUUAGCUAGUUGGUGAGGUAACGGCUCACCAAGGCAACGAUGCGUAGCCGGCCUGAGAGGGGGAUCGGCCACACGGGGACUGAGAAACGGCCCAGACUCCUAAGGGAGGCAGCAGUAGGGAAUCUUCCGCAAUGGACGAAAGUCUGACGGAGCAACGCCGCGUGAGUGAUGAAGGCUUUCGGGUCGUAAAACUCUGUUGUUAGGGAAGAACAAGUGCUAGUUGAAUAAGCUGGCACCUUGACGGUACCUAACCAGAAAGCCACGGCUAACUACGUGCCAGCCGCCGCCGUAA
rnacentral:rRNA from 1 species